GUGGCACAUGCUUCAAGGGAGGGGGUAGCCGGCUUCUGGGGGCUGGCUACGCCCUUGGCCGACUGGGGGAGGCCGGGCCGCCUUCGCGCCUCUCUCUGGCUAAAGGGUCCCGCCGCCCGUGGGCCGUACUGGCGUCUGUCGUGGGUGACGUUGAGGCCAGCAUGGCUACAGUGCCGAGCUGGACGGGAUAUGGCCGCCCCGUACGACGUCCUGUGGCCAUGCCUGCCUCGGGCUUUGGGGGUAGUGGGCCGCACUGUGGCCACACCCCGUCUUGUCACCGUUAUGUGGAUGUAGUUUUGGUGGGUGCGGGCUUGGCCGGCUUCUUGGAGUCGGCGCCCUUCGUGGCCAGCUCUGGGGAGUCGGCGUUCUUCAUGGCCGGCUCUGGGGAGUCGGCAUCCUCUAUGGCCGGCUUCCUGGAGUCGGCCAUCCCGUGGUUAUCUUGGGGGGAGGUUGCUGAGGCUGGGUCGCCUUCUGAGAGUCGGUUUCAGAGGUAGCCGACCGGGGAAGGCGGCCCAAUGCUUGAAUGCUUGAAGGCUCAAAUGGCCUGAUAAUUUUUGAAGAGCCAGGGGCAGUCGGUUAGGCUACCCGUGGCCAUUUACUCCGACAAGUUGUUUGUUUGUCUAAGAUUAUUUUAGACCCGAGAACUUGGAUCUGUUUAGAGUUACAUGUGUUGUAGAAGGUUGUCGUUCUGGUAUACUUCCAACAAGUCACAAAUGGUUGUUAGAUAUUUGGAUGGAUCUGUUGAGUUAACCACGGUAUUUAUCAUUUCUUUAACUGCUAAUAUUAUAUGUAGUGCUCACUCUGCUUUUCUAGGCACCUCAAGUCACUUUGAUACUAUCAUCAUUCAAAAUAUGUGCAAACAAGCCCAUUGGUGCUCGACAUGGAUACGUGCUUUCUCAACCUCACGUGAUACGCUAACGUAAUCCGUCGGCCGCCUAUAGGUCAUUGUGUGUGUGUGUGCGCGCGCUCACCUAUGCCAUUAAAAGCAGGCGGAGUUGCAGCAAUGGAGGAUCCAACCAUCGGUGGAGAUUGAUAUAAGGCUAAGUUUCUACUCUGUUUCAAGAACUUAAAGGACGUGCUUGCGAAUCAUGGACAACAUUGGCCUGGUACGAAGCUCGAGUCUAAGCUCUUGCUUGGCUUUAGGUGCAAACACGGGCCUUCAGUAAGCGGAUGCUUGUGCCCAUUGCGUGUGAUCGUGAUGUAGGCAUUCACUCUGGAACCUGAGAAUAAUUUGAUGAUCCUUUCUGGAAGAUAGUUCAAUAGUGAAUUUGACCACUUAUGUAUAGGUAUUUGUUGUUGUGUUAUGUAUGGAGAUGCAGAUUCUCAGGCUUAAGGUUUUAGUUUGGUAGUUUUAAGUGUUAUUGAUUGUUUUGCUGCAACUGGUUGUUGCUCAGCGUGAUAACCGAAGGAAUGCCUCUUGAAAAUUAAGAUCCUUAUUAUGUGUUCUUUCUGUGA